rnacentral:rRNA from 1 species
ACGGUGGAUGCCUUGGCACUGAGAGGCGAUGAAGGACGCGUUUACCUGCGAUAAGCUUCGGGUAGCUGGAAUAAAGCUAUAAUCCGGAGAUUUCCGAAUGGGGCAACCCAGCGAGAGUCAUGUCUCGUUACCAUUUAUGGGGCCAACCCGGUGAAGUGAAACAUCUCAGUAACCGGAGGAAAAGAAAGCGAAUGCGAUUCCCUGAGUAGCGGCGAGCGAAAUGGGACCAGCCCAAACCGAUAUGCAUGCAUAUCGGGGUUGUAGGACUUCCACAAAGUAUGUGAAUAGAUAGUUGAGUUACCUGGAAAGGUAAGCCAAAGAGGGUGAUAGCCCCGUAAGCGAAAUCUUGAAACAGCUGGAAGGAUCCUGAGUAGCACGGAACAAGUGAAAUUUUGUGUGAAUCUGCGCAGACCACUGCGUAAGGCUAAAUACUCCUCAGUGACCGAUAGUGAACCAGUACCGUGAGGGAAAGGUG